AAAUAGCUGCCUAGGUUUUGUUAUUCAUCCCUAAGCAGCGAUGAAGGGAGGCCCCCCCUCCAGUGCCCGCCGCCCCUUAGCAGCUUGAGCUUCGGGAUGACGCCUCACAGCUUCCCUUCCCCACGCCUAGUCGUAUCAAUGUCCUCAGUGACCUUAUGAGGGAACUGAGGUCCAAAGAGGCUAUGGGAAAUGCCGAAAGCUGCAUUUCUAGAUUCUGGCAGCUGGGCCAGGUCCAGCUCUUAUUGGCACGACUUAAGACACUCCUUCAGUGAGCAUUCAUCAAGCUCCUAGAUACCAUGUACUCAGUGUACGGAAGGUGAGACAGACACAAGAAGGAGCAAUGGAGUUAAGUGGAUAAAAACGAAUGGUAGUUAAGUACCUAAGGUAUCAGAUCAUAGAUCAUCAUAGUUGAAGAUCAUUUGGGACAAGUCCCUCAUGUUAAUGAAGAAGCAGUGAGACACUGUGAAAGGUAAAAUGGAAUCAAGUUUUAAACUCCAAGUAGAGCCCUGAUUUUCUGUGUCCACAUAGUCCAUCUGUUCACACACUCUGCUGUGGUGUAUGUGAUAUACGCUGCCAAGGGCAGGGUCCUGUCUCAGUGAGCAUGGAAAGGGGAAAGGAGCUUAGGAAUCCAAGAGGGUGCCCAGGUUCGUGGAUGGUGAUACCAUUUACCGUGAUAAUACAUGAAGGAAUAGAAACCACUCUAUGGAGAAGAUGGUAUGUUUUGAACAUUUCUUUUAUGUGCCUGUGGGACUUCCAGGGAAGACCCACAAGAAGCAGUUAGGAACAUGGGUGCCAAGCACUGGAGGGAGGCAUGGAGUUGUCCACUGGGGAACAAUCAACACAGAGGUGGUCACUGAAGCUAGGGCAUGUUGAGAGAGAGUGGGCA